rnacentral:tRNA from 1 species
ACUAAUUUGGCAGAUAAGUGCAUCGGAUUUAGAAUCUUAGAAUGUGAAUAGUUACUCACAAUUAGUA